rnacentral:ncRNA from 1 species
CCCGUAAAGGGCAAACCCGUCGCGAGGCGGGGACGCAAAGCCACGGGUCAGUCGGCGAAGACUGACAGCCGGG